GAUCGAAGGUCGAUAAACUUCUUGCUCCGAUUGGGAAGUGCCACCAUCAUGUGUCACAUAAACCUCUGGCUCGACCUCAAAGGCACAAAGUCGAGAAAGUUGGUCAUCAGUACUUAAAAGAGAUGGAUGAUCCUGCCACUUCGAGAUCUCGAUAGAUAGAUAAAUUGUAGACGGUACUCAGUGAAUUUGCCAUCAAGUAGUAAUUGAUAUUUUGCCUUAACUCCGAAAUGCUUAUGUUAUUUGUCUGAACAUAAGCAAAUGUAGCACCUCCACCACAAUAUAAGACAUCGUUCCAAUAUCCUCCAUAUCUCACAAGGACGUUUUUCCACUCCGUCAUCUGUAAAUUACGAAUAAAAUAAAUUAAAAUACAAAUAAUAUAUUCUCCUAUAAAUUAGCUUAUACCACAAAUCAUUAAUCGCUCUAAACCAAAUUAUUUACGAAAACCCAUCAAUUAAAUCUUUAUUCAUGAAUAUGCGAAAAUAUAAACUAUUACACGUGAUUAACAAUUAUGCGACGGUGUUUAUCGACAUUCCGAAGGUAUUUAACUACAAUUCGAAGGUAUUUACAAAUAAUGAAAGAAUGCUUAAUUACAACACAAUUGCAUGGACACUAUCAUGAUAGAAAUCGGGCGGUAUUAAAUGAACUAAGCAAUGGUAUUUACCAUUUCGACGAGGAUAUGUACAUAUUCGACGACGGUAUUAAUUUUUAAUCGAAGGUAUGUUCUCCACAUGCAAAACUCACCUAAUAAUAUCAACAAUGUCUAUAUACACUACAAUGAUAAAUAUGCAACGGCAUUACACUAUUAGGAGAUGGUAUUAAUCAAGUAAUCGACGAAUUCAUCACAUUACGAAGUAUUUAUCUCAUAUGCAAAAGGUUGUUAGAAUAGAAUGAAAGAAUACUUAAAUUAAAAAAAAAUUAGCAUGGACAUUAACAUGAUAGAUAUACGACGGUAUUUACAUUUUUUGACGAUGGUAUUUAAGAUUUCGACGACGGUAUGUACAUAUUAUACGACGGUAAUAUGCUAUUACUCGAAGAUAAAUUUUCCACAAGCAAAAUACACCUAAUAUUAGCAACAAUUUCUAUGUACACUAGAAUGAUAAAUAUGCAACGGUAUUAAACCAUUACUCAACGGUAUUUACGAAAUAUACUUCAGUAUUUAAAAUAAAAGUAAGAAUUACCUUUAGUUGAUAGAUAUGCGAUGAAAUUUCUUUUCUCCCAAUUCUCCAAUGAAAUGGCAGCUGAGAACCCCAAAGCUUCCAAGAAGAAGAAUUAUAACUCAACAAAUAUGGAGGCCUUUGAGACAACUUGUUUUGAAUGUUUGUGUCGUAUUUACUUCAUCCUUUCAACAUAUAUGGAGGCCUUUGUGUUUAAUUUAUGUUUAAUUUACUCACCCUCACCCGUGAAUGUACUAGGAAUCACUUUAUAUUGACAUGAGUGUACUUGCAAGAACUUUAUAUUCACGUGAAAGUGAAAUUAAAAGGAGCCAGACGUACUUAGAAUACCGUUGGAAAUAAAUUUAAUACCGUCGUCGAAAAAAGAAAAUACCAUCGUCAAAAUCACUAUACCGUCUGAAUAUUUGAGAAUAUCGACCGGCGGUAUUAUCAUUUGUUCCGAUGGUAUUUUAAUUUUUUUAGACAGUAUUUUCUAUGGUGUAGAGAAUCAUUUGCAUCAUUUUAACCUGUAAAUAUUAUUUUCGUAUAAUAUUUACAUAUGUGCGGUAUUUCAAACUCAUUUCCUUGGUGGUAUUUUAGGCACAAAAGGUGAUGGGGGAAUCAUAAAAGGACAAAAUGAUAGAGAAUCAUAGUACACUAUACCAGCCUCAUGCGUGAACAAUUAUGAGAUGAUUGCUGACAAGCAUAAAAAAGUGUGUACAUGUGUGAUGACAAAAUAUAUUAAAAAAUACAAAUGGUUAAAAGUUGUAGAUGAUAGAAAAAGUGGUUAAAAGUUG
rnacentral:lncRNA from 1 species